GCGGCCCUGAGCUUCAAUCUGCACUUUCAAAACUUCCCAGUUGCCUCCAGAGCCCUGCAGUUGAAGAUCUUGUCUAGCACAUGGUUUUGCUGUUUUCCUCACCCCGAACUCCCUCCUUGGAGGGCCAUCGUUCUCUGUCUCAGAUUCCACCCUCCUUAUCACACAACUAGAGCUUCGGAGGAACGUGAUGGGGCUCCCAACUAAGGAGGGAAAGACCAUCAUAGCUCAGGGAUGAGGCUCCGAGAUCCUCAGAUAACAUUAAUUGUCCUCUGUCUUCUCUUGACUUGGCACAUCCUUGCUUGGAGCAGGGCAGGAGCAGCUGAAAGGGAGGUGGCACCUGGAGGUCUCAGUCAUUUCACUUCUCUGAGCCUCAGUUUUCCCAUAUGCAAAGUGAAGAGGUACACUCCCUCAGGGUUUUGCAUCUUCUUAAUGGCAGAAACCUAGUCAAACAAAAUAUUAUGUAAAUGUUCACUAUAGGCAGGGCGAGGUGGCUCAAACCUGUAAUUCCAGCACUUUUAGAGGCCCAGGAGGCUCUUGAGGUCAGGAGUUCGAGACCAGCCUGACCAACAUGGCAAAAACCUGUCUCUACUAAAUAAUACAAAAAUUAGCUGGGCAUGGUGACACACACCUGUAAUUCCAACUACUCGGUAGGAGGCUGAGGCAGGAGAAUCGCUUGAACACAGGAGGGAGGCGGAGGUUGCAGUGAGCUGAGAUUGCACCACUGCACUCCAUCCUAGGUGACAGAGUGAGACUCUCUCUCAAAAAAAAAACAAGUUUAUAAAGGAAUGUAUAUUGUUCUGAUUGACAUUGAAAUAGGGUCAACUACCCCCGGUCACCAGAGCAGCAGGAACACCUCAGGGGCCACACUUUGGAGGCACUGCCCAGAAAGAUUUCUGGGUCUUUAAAAGUCCCUUCCAGUCCUGGGAAAUUCUAUGUGAAAAUGAUGGUCCCUGCUUGCUAUAAUCCCUACAGGUGACUUAUUAUCUAAGCCAUUUAACACAGGAUUGAAUACUAUGCGACUGUGUGCCAAGCAAGAAGCAGUGUUGUAUGGGACACCCUAGCUGUGUAUAAGGUAUCUGGUAAUAACACAGGAGGCCACAGUGAUAGACUGUGAUAACGGAAGUAAUUCCAUAUCCAGUUUAAGUGUCUUUUCUAGGGAGUAUAAAUCGUUAUCUCCAUUCCAAUAUGGACUGAAAGGUAUCGACUUUUAUCCAUGUGCCAAAAAUUAGAUUGGCUGGUUCCUCUCUUCUACUCCAUACCAGGUCAGGUAUCAUAAUAAGGACUCAGAGUGGUCCAAGCUGCCCAAAUAUCUGUGUCUUCCACUCUGACCUGUCUGGGAACCCCAAAUUUAUAUCCAACUGCUUACUUGACAACUGCAGUUGGUAGCCUAUCAGGCAUCUCAAAUUUGACCUAGCCAAAGCAGAAGUCCUCAUUUUCCCCGUAAAUCUCCUCCCCAGUUUUCCCUGUCUGAAUCAAUGGCAUAAGCAACUACACCAUUGCUCAAAUCAGAACCUUAUGAGUCCUACUGAAACCAGCCAAAGAGUCCCAUAGACAGUUGUUUUUGUUUUUGUUUUUGUUUUUGUUUUUGAGACAGAGUUUGGCUCUUAUUGCCCUCACUGGAGUGCAGUGGCACGAUCUCGGCUCACUGCGACCUCCACCUCCUGAGUUCAAGUGAUUCUCCUGCCGCAGCCUCCCAAGUAGCUGGAAUUACAGGCACGCCACCAUGCCCAGCUAAGUUUUGUAUUUUUAGUAGAUACAGGGUUUCAUCAUGUUGGCCAGGCUGGUCUUGAACUCCCAACUUCAGGUGACCUGCCUGCCUCAGCCUCCCAAAGUGCUGGGAUUAUAGAAGUUGACCCUUUUGCAGUUAAAGCUGGAAACUUACUUGUUUUAUCCGAGUUCCUUCCUCAGGAAAGGACCUUCAGGCCUCUCACAAAAAGUAUCAAAGAACUGAAGCCAUAAAAAGUAUCAAAAGAACUGAAACCAGAUCACUGCACUAGAUGCUGGGCCCCUCAGUCACCAUGAUUGCUUCCUUGCCCCUCCCAUGUUCCUGUUUUCUUACAUAUUGUUACAUUUCUUUCCUGCUAUAUAAACCCUUGGUUUUGGUCAGUCAAGGAGAUGGAUUUGAGACUGCACUCCCAUCUCCUUGGCUGCAGCACCUGAUUAAAGCCUUCUUCCUUGGCAAUACUUGUCAUCUCAGUGAUUGGCUUUCUGUGCACCGAGCAGCAGGACCUAGACCAAACCCCUGGUGUUUCGGUAACAAUACUUGAUUCCUCCCAUAUACAGUCCAUCAGCAAAAUAGCCUCAAAAGUGUAUCCACCAUCCGACUACUUUUUUCCAUGUACACUACUGCAACAUUGUCUUAUAUCUGGACUGUUGCAAUAGCAGUGAACCAGAAGGGAGCUUAACUGGUCCUCUGAAUUCAUUCUUGCCUUAAAUAAAUCUUCCAUAUAGUAACCAAAGUGAUUCCCUGCCAUCAUUUUGAUCAUGAGCUCAUCAAGCAAAUACUAGGCUGGUUGAGAAAGGUGAUAAUGGAUAUUUGAAAAACGAGUUCUAUUUGGGUUUUCUGUUCUUUUGAACGACUACAAGAUUGCUAAAUAUCACAUUUGGUAUCAGACAUCGGGUGACCAAAAACUGAAAGGCAAAAAAAAUCUGAAACCCCAAAUGUCUGCUGUAGAAUUUAUGGCAGUGAAUUCUGCCAUUAAGGCAUUCAGUGUGUUAGGACCACUAUUCCCUGGCUUCCCCACCCUUCAACAAUCAAGACCAGAAACCAA
rnacentral:lncRNA from 10 species